rnacentral:rRNA from 1 species
CCUACGGGUGGCAGCAGUGAGGAAUAUUGGUCAAUGGACGAGAGUCUGAUCCAGCCAAGUAGCGUGAAGGAUGACUGCCCUAUGGGUUGUAAACUUCUUUUAUCUGGGAAUAAAACAGGGUAUGCAUACCCUCUUGUAUGUACCAUAUGAAUAAGGAUAGGCGAACUCCGGGCCAGCAGCCGCGGCACUACGGAGGAUCCGAGCGUUAUCCGGAUUUAUUGGGUUUAAAGGGAGCGUAGGUGGAUUGUUAAGUCAGUUGUGAAAGUUUGCGGCUCAACCGUAAAAUUGCAGUUGAAACUGGCAGUCUUGAGUACAGUAGAGGUGGGCGGAAUUCGAGGUGUAGCGGUGAAAUGCUUAGAGAUGACGAAGAACUCCGAUUGCGAAGGCAGCUCACUGGACUGCAACUGACGCUGAUGCGCGAAAGUGUGGGGAUCAAACAGGAUUAGAUACCCGAGUAGUC